rnacentral:rRNA from 1 species
CCUACGGGGGGCAGCAGUGGGGAAUAUUGGACAAUGGGCGAAAGCCUGAUCCAGCCAUGCCGCGUGUGUGAAGAAGGCCUUCGGGUUGUAAAGCACUUUCAGUGGGGAAGAAAGCCUUGGGGCUAAUACCCUCGAGGAAGGACAUCACCCACAGAAGAAGCACCGGCUAACUCCGUGCCAGCAGCCGCGGUAAUACGGAGGGUGCGAGCGUUAAUCGGAAUUACUGGGCGUAAAGCGCGCGUAGGCGGUCUGAUAAGCCGGUUGGGAAAGCCCCGGGCUCAACCUGGGAACGGCAUCCGGAACUGUCAGGCUAGAGUGCAGGAGAGGAAGGUAGAAUUCCCGGUGUAGCGGUGAAAUGCGUAGAGAUCGGGAGGAAUACCAGUGGCGAAGGCGGCCUUCUGGACUGACACUGACGCUGAGGUGCGAAAGCGUGGGUAGCAAACAGGAUUAGAUACCCUAGUAGUC